CACACACACACACACACACACAGGUGUGUAGUGAUGAUGAACUCUAAAGCUACAUGAAGUUUGGAGGUGUGUAGUGAGUGAUGAACUCUGAAGCUACAUGAAGUUUGGAGGUGUGUAGUGAUGAACUCUGCUGAAGCUACAUGAAGUUUGGAGGUGUGUAGUGAGUGAUGAACUCUGAAGCUACAUGAAGUUUGGAGGUGUGUAGUGAUGAACUCUGAAGCUACAUGAAGUUUGGAGGUGUGUAGUGAUGAACUCUGAAGCUACAUGAAGUUUAGAGGUGUGUAGUGAUGAACUCUGAAGCUACAUGAAGUUUGGAGGUGUGUAGUGAGUGAUGAACUCUGAAGCUACAUGAAGUUUGGAGGUGUGUAGUGAUGAACUCUGAAGCUACAUGAAGUUUGGAGGUGUGUAGUGAUGAACUCUGAAGCUACAUGAAAUUUAGAGGUGUGUAGUGAUGAACUCUGAAGCUACAUGAAGUUUGGAGGUGUGUAGUGAUGAUGAACUCUAAAGCUACAUGAAGUUUGGAGGUGUGUAGUAAUGAAGUCUGAAGCUACGUGAAAUUUGGAGGUGUGUAGUGAUGAACUCUGAAGCUACAUGAAGUUUGGAGGUGUGUAGUGAUGAUGAACUCUAAAGCUACAUGAAGUUUGGAGGUGUGUAGUGAUGAACUCUGAAGCUACAUGAAGUUUGGAGGUGUGUAGUGAUGAUGAACUCUAAAGCUACAUGAAAUUUAGAGGUGUGUA